UUUUUUUUUUUUUUUUUGAGACUGAGUCUCGCUCUGUCGCCCAGGCUGGAGUGCAGUGGCGCAAUCUCGGCCCACUGCAAGCUCCGCCUCCCGGGUUCAAGCCAUUCUCCUGCCUCAGCCUCUCCAAGUAGCUGGGACUACAGGCGCCCACCACCACGCCCAGCUAAUUUUUUGUAUUUUUAGUAGAGACGGGGUUUCACCGUGGUCUCGAUCUCCUGACCUCAUGAUCCGCCCGCCUCGGCCUCCCAAAGUGCUGGGAUUACAAGCGUGAGUCACCGCGCCCGGCUGAGCACUUCCCCUUUCACUCAUUCUCUCCCGCUCCACCAUGUGAAGAAGGUGCUUGCUUCCUCUUCACCCUCUGCCAUGAUUGUAAGUUUCCCCAGGUCUCCCCAGCCAUGCCUCCUGUACAGCCUGUGAAACUGGGUUGAUUAAACCUCUUUUCUUUAUAAAUUAUCCAGUCUCAGGUAGUUCUUUAUGGCAGUGUGAGAAUAGACUAAUACAGAAAAUUGAUACCAGAGAAGUGGGGCAUGGAUAUAAAGAUACCUGAAAAGGUGGAAGCGACUUUGGAACUGGGAAAUAGGCAGAGGUUGGAACAGUUUGGAGGGCUCAGAAGAAGACAGGAAGAUGAGAGAAAGUUUGGAACUUCCUAGAGACUUGUUGAAUGGUUGUGACCAAGAUGCUGAAAAUGAUAUGAACAGUGAAAUCCAGGCUGCGGUGGUCUCAGAUAGAGGAACUUAUUAGGAAGUGGAGUAAAGGUCACUCUUGCUAUACUUUAGCAAAGAGACUGGCAGGCACUGUGCCCCUGCUCUAAAGAUUUGUGGAACUUUGAACUUGAGAGAGGUGAUUUAGGGUAUCUGGCAGAAGAAAUUUCUAAGCAGCCAAGUAUUCAGGAUAUGGCCUGGCUGCCUCUAACAGCCUACAUUUAUUUGCAUAAACAAAGAAGUGACCUGAAACUAGAACUUAUAUUUAAAAGGGAAGCAGAGCAUAAACAUUUAAAAAAUUUUUGGCCUAAACACGCAAUAGUGAAGAAAAACCUAUGUUCUGAGGAGGAAUUCAAGGCUGCAGAAAUUUGCAUAAGUAAAGGAGAGCCAAAUGUUAAUAGCCAAGACAAAGGGAAAAUGCCUCCAGGGCAUUUCAGACCUUAGCAGCAGCCCCUCCCAUCACAGGCCUGGAGGCCUAGGAGGGAAAAAUGGUUUCAUGGGCCAGGCGCAGGACCCUCCUUCUCUGUGCAGCCUUGAGACAUGGUGCCCUGCAUUCCAGCCACUCCAGCUCCAGCCAUGGCUAAAAGGAUCCAAGGACGUUUCCCUGUCUCGGGGGUUCUAUGUGCCUAUCUGUGGCUUUGCAAAGCCUGACAGCCCUGCAGGAUGGGCUUGGUCCUGCUGUCCCUCUGGAAGCCCAAAUUCACAACAACGAACUCACCUUCUUUCCCUGGAUGAGCUGCUCCCAAGUUCAGCACCUCAGACCUGGCCCAACAGCACCUCCUCCAUGAAACAUGCUUCCCUGAUGUGUCUGUUACAUUCCCACCAUCCAAACACUGACAGCUCUUGCAGGAGGGAGCCAUGACGCGCUCAUCUUCUGCAUCUGCAGCUGGUGCCGGGGACCGGUACGUUUGCUGCAUAAGUGAAUGAACCAACGUCCCAGCAAUUCCUGAGCAUUCUUAAGGCUGGUCUGUCUCCCCCAGGAAGCCUGGGCCCCCAGCGUCACCGAGCCGUGCACACAGAGAGAUAAUCAUCUUGGUGUCCCUCUGGACCUGGAAGCUGGAUGGUGUCGCUAAGAAAGCCAGAGCUGCUUUGCCUCCUAUAUUGCUACUGAAAUUUGCAACUCAAGUGUUGCAUAACCAAGGGAAUCUGGCUUCCCUCUGAACAUCCCUCCCACUUAGUAUGAGAAAUAGAGAAAGAGCCAAAGUUAGGUCAAGACUCACCUGAGGAGGCCCCUGGCCCACCAUCGAGGUCAUGCCUGUCACUCCCCAGGCUGCCCCUCCCGGGGAACAGGGUCAUGCGGGGUUAGGGGGUAGCUCACUCCCAGUGGGUAACUGGAUUGCCCUGGGGAGGGGGACAAAGAAUCAGAGCGUAGGCCAUUCUCACUUCAGACCAGGGUGAUUGCAGACUGUCCCUCCUUCCCCCUUGGAGGGAACAUCUGCAAUUCAGGGACUUCUGCAAAAAUUUCACACUCAGGGCUAAGAGCAAUUCUAUUACUUAGAGGAUUCUAACUUGGCUUAGAGGAGGUUUUUACCCUCCUCCGGUUAAAUGGACCAAGUAUUUGGAAAAUUACCUCACAGAGUCAUGCCACCAACACCAAAUGAGAGCCAUCUGUACAGAUGAAACAGUUAGGAGCUUUUGUGUCACUGCAGGCCGAAAUGUGUAGCCCAUUCAUUGUGAGAGGAGGCACUUUAUUCCUGAGUUUCUUUUUUUUUUUCUAACACAGAAGAUGCCUCAGUCAGCGCGUAGGAAACAGGAAGGAACCCGUUGUUUUAAAUAGCAGACAGCAGAGAAUUGACUCAUUAUGGUCUGCUUGCUCCGAGAGUGUCAGCCAGAAGGCAGCCAGCCCAGCCCCCACAGCCCCAAGACAAGGGUCAGGGGGCAUGGCUGGGAUUUUCUCGCAGGGAGUCUGAGAGAAUCCAGUUCAAACCCUUUUCAGAGGGAACUGGUGAAGCCCUAGGUUUCUAUCUUACUAGAGACUUCACCACACAGGGCUGUCUUAAAAAAAUGUAAGAAUAAGAAAGGACAAAAACAAAAGCCCCCAUAUAAACCUACAAGAAUACCUGGAAGUCAGACAUCCUGCAUUUCCCUUUCCUACCCCGAAUGACUCGGAGUAGGACAAACACAGUUGCAAGCCUCCUUUCUUAUCUUGGCAAUUGCUUCUUUUCACUCUUCUGGGGUUUACAACAGUUGGCCCAGAGGUGUGAGGGAACAGACGGUAGCAGCAUCUGCUGGGACAGAGGGCCCUACACAAAGGUAAUUUCAUGCAGGGAAAAUGCGCCCCCCUCCCCUCCAAUCCCGGGCUGCUGGGCCCAGGAGCCCAAGGGUUAAUCUGUCUCAAAUCCAUCACUGUGACAGCCAAGCACACAAAUUAGUCCUGCCCAAGCUGUCCCAACCUCUGAAUUUAAUUUUUUAAAAGUGCUUUGUAUUGUUUCUGAUGUUCAGAUUGGAGUCCAGGUGUCGUGAGGGACCCCGGGGGAUAUGAGAGGGUAAGACCCUCGAGUACUGCAUCUCACAUCACCCUCCAAUGUCCUGUGUCUUCUUUGUCAAGGCAGACUAAGGGUGACUUAAUUUCCAACACGCAGGCCCAGGAACCUUGAAACUGACCAGCUCGAGCCUCCUUGCAAGCCUCUCCAGCUGUGAAAAUCCCCUGGCUCGUAGACCUAUGUUGUCCACACGAUGCUUUUCCUGCAUUUUGCAGACAACUGCUGAUCUCCAAGGGCGGGCCAUGCGUGGCUGUAUCUCCCAUCCAGAGAACAUCUACAAAGCUCACGCAGCCAUGGGGACUCAUAGUUUGACCUGAAACUGAUGGUGACUCCUGUCACCAACAGGAGUGGUCAAAACAUCCUUUCUGGAGUAUUAAGUGUUUGUAGAACCCUGGACAUUUAUGGCGGCAGAGUGUGUAGCAGCCUCAAGGAGAAAUCAUCCCCCACCACUGCCCCUUUCUAGAAUCACACCAAGUAAUUGGGGUUCUCAGUAGAGUCUGGAGGCAAUCCUGGAGACUGAGGAAGGAGAGAGCCUUCCACUUUUCCAUUUCUCCCAAGCCAUUUUGUAUGCCUACAGGUGUCAGUAUAAACCAAAGAAUGUGCCUUGUCUCAGAUAAAAAGUUAGAGUAACCAUAUAAUUUACUGUCUAAACCUGGACACGGAUGAGAGUGAAAAGGAGAGCUAUUAAUAAUGAUGCCAGAAUGACAGGUGUAGAUGGUGACUGUCCCAGGCAAACUGGGACAUAUGGUCAUGCUAUGACUGUGAGCUCUAAAUUGUUGCAGGCUCCAGUGCUGGCCGUCUAUUAGGUUUAUUUAUAAUAUAAUACCCAAGUGACCCUAGGUCCACAGGGUAGAGGGGGUUGAGGAGGGUAAGGAAGGUCAGCAACCAUGCCUGUCUGAAGGCCAUGUGGAGGUAGGGAAUGGGGAGAAAGGGGAUCAAUUUAAUCCAGAAAAAGCUGACUCCGCUACAGACUUGAGGAAAUCCAGGUCCUUUUUCUUGUCUGAGCUGCUACUUGCUCUCAGCAAAGAAACUGAGUUCUGCCAACUCCCACUCCAGCUGCAAAAUGCAGCAGAGUCCUGAGGUUGGAAUUCCAGGCCCACUAUCCCCACUAGCUUCUGUAAGUCCAUCAGAAGAUAGGACCUCAGGUCUGCAACAUUUACCUUGGAUUUCUGUCAAAAAGUCCAAGCAGAUGGUAUUCUCCUUCAUCUCUUCUUACAGACAGUGACAGAUCCACUGCUCAAAAUCCUUUCCCCACCCUAAGCAAGGCUAUAGCAGAAACCGUCUUCUUCUAGGCCUUGCCUGUUUAACCUAGCCAGCCAGAGGUUUAUAAAAGACAACUUCCUCUAUUUCCAGAGGCGAAAAAAAUCUAAAGUAGUCUAUUUAAAAUUUUCUCUCUUCAGACCCCAAAGAAUAAAAAAAGUUUUUAACUAUUGGAUGGAAAUUCUUUUUUGUUCACUUAAAACAGAUGAUCCCCUUCUAGAGUAGAAAUAGUUAAUUGGUCUACAAAAUAGUAUUCUAUAACAUGUCUUAUCCUUAUCCUCAAUCUGUAAGCAAAAAUUAUAUUGAAAUCCAAUUGAAAUGAUCCAAAGUGGCUACGAAGAUAAAAUUAUUCUUCCAGAAACAUGGUACUGUGGAUAGAGAAUUCAAGAAAACUCCUUUAGAUAUCAUAUAUACCACAACAUAUCACUUGAAAAAGAAAAAAAAUCCUUUAUGUAACCAUAAAAAAUAAGAAAUUCAUAUUUUGCAUUCUUAUAUAAAUUCAAUUGAAUAAUAGAUUAGAACUUAAAAUCAGUUUUUGUCAGAGUCAGUUCUCUCGUUAUCACGCUUUCCUUUUCCCUGAAUAAAGCUAUUAUUAGUGGACUCAUAAUUUACUAGACUGUGAUCUCCCAAAAGACAAAGACUUUUACUUUGUUCAUGUUUUUGCUUUAAGAAAAGUAUACAAUAAAUAUUUGAUAUGUAAAUAAAAAGUCAUACUAAGCAUCAAAUUAUAGCAAUAAAUAUAAAUGGCCUAUA